rnacentral:rRNA from 1 species
UACGUAGGGUGCGAGCGUUAAUCGGAAUUACUGGGCGUAAAGCGUGCGCAGGCGGUUUUGUAAGCCAGAUGUGAAAUCCCCGGGCUCAACCUGGGAAUGGCAUUUGGGACUGCAAGGCUGGAGUGUGGCAGAGGAGACUGGAAUUCCUGGUGUAGCAGUGAAAUGCGUAGAUAUCAGGAGGAACACCAGCGGCGAAGGCGGCGCUCUGGGCUGGCACUGACGCUGAGGAGCGAAAGCGUGGGUAGCGAACAGG